UUCAGUCACAAAUUUAAUUAACGCAUUAUUUUUUUUUAUUAAGCAUCAUCAGCAUGGAAGCAUGUCCUCUGGAACAAUGGCUGAAGCAUGAAGAGGCAUAUGAAUCUUCAGCGCAUCUGGCGCAUAAAUAUCUUGAGACACCAGUUACAACAGUGCCAUGCGAAUGCCUGUUCUUACUUUCAGGGACAUUGUAAUUAAGAAGCAGGCAGCAUUAUCUCCCGUAAAUGUAAACAAACUUGUUGGUCUGAGCGAUU